rfam:Lupinus angustifolius cultivar Tanjil chromosome LG07, whole genome shotgun sequence.
AACAAGGCUCUUUCCUGCCUCAGAGCCACACUAAUUAUGAAAUAUGUUAUAU